AGUAGUUUGAUCAGUGCUCGAGGACGACGCUGGCGGCGCGCCUAACACAUGCAAGUCGAACGGGACUAGUGACCGGAGAUUAGAAUUCUUUGUUCUAGUUUGCGAUCACUAGUUCAGUGGCGGACGGGUGAGUAAAGCAUGAGCAACCUGCCUAGUAGAGGGGGAUAGCUUUUGGAAACAGAAGAUAAUACCGCAUGAAUCAGAGAUUUCGCAUGAGAUUUUUGGAAAAGGAGCAAUCCGCUAUUAGAUGGGCUCAUGUCCGAUUAGCUAGUUGGUGAGGUAGAGGCUUACCAAGGCGACGAUCGGUAGCCGUACUGAGAGGUUCAACGGCCACAUUGGGACUGAGAUACGGCCCAGACUCC
rnacentral:rRNA from 1 species